rnacentral:rRNA from 1 species
AUGGGACUGCCGGUGACAAACCGGAGGAAGGUGGGGAUGACGUCAAGUCCUCAUGGCCCUUAUAGGUGGGGCUACACACGUCAUACAAUGGCUGGUACAGAGGGUUGCCAACCCGCGAGGGGGAGCUAAUCCCAUAAAGCCAGUCGUAGUCCGGAUCGCAGUCUGCAACUCGACUGCGUGAAGUCGGAAUCGCUAGUAAUCGCGGAUCAGAAUGUCGCGGUGAAUACGUUCCCGGGUCUUGUACACACCGCCCGUCACACCAUGGGAGCGGGUUCUGCCAGAAGUAGGUAGCCUAACCGUAAGGAGGGCGCUUACCACGGCAGGGUUCGUGACUGGGGUGAAGUCGUAACAAGGUAGCCGUAUCGGAAGGUGCGGCUGGAUCACCUCCUUU